GCGUUAAUCGGAAUUACUGGGCGUAAAGCGUGCGCAGGCGGUUCGUUAAGUUUGUGGUGAAAGCCCCGGGCUCAACCUGGGAAUGGCCAUGGAAACUGGCGGGCUGGAGUAUGGCAGAGGGGGGUGGAAUUCCACGUGUAGCAGUGAAAUGCGUAGAGAUGUGGAGGAACACCGAUGGCGAAGGCAGCCCCCUGGGCCAAUACUGACGCUCAGGCACGAAAGCGUG
rnacentral:rRNA from 1 species